UGGGUUUGUUCCUCUUCUUGAAUCCACACGGGCUGAUCGAUUCCUUCCCAGAUUCCUCUUCCUCUUUCUGAAUCUGAAGUACUGAAUUCCUCCUUCUAUUGGUGUGUUAUUAUGGAACAAGGUACCAUAGAUGCAAGAUAAAGCAAAAUCCAUCCAAAUCACCCUCUCCCAAGUGCAAGAAAGUCUAUGAUCACACAUAUAUAGGUGAGGCUUUUGUUUCCAUCCUUUUUGUGUGUAGAACAAAGGGUGUGGAUUUUUUGGUGGGAAUGAAUGCAGCCCGGAUGCCUUUGCCAACAUGGGUGUCUGUGAAAGCUUGCAGGGGAAUAUUCGCAUGGGUAGCUAGUCAUUAUGCUGGUUUCAUCUUUUCUUUGUUGCUUGGGCAGGCAGCGAAUUGUAAGUAAUUGUCUGGGUGGUGGGGGAAUUCUUGUGCUUUCGGUGUCUCCAGAUCUUGGGUUCUUGUGAAAGUCUUUGAAUUUGCGCCUCAUAAUGUGUGUAUGCAUAUAUAGGUCCUGAUUUUGUUGGAUUUUCAUGGUUUUGAUUUUGGCUCUCUCUCUUUCGGGUCGCUCUUGGAGGAACGGGCAAUUUUUUCUAAUCUCAUUGCAUUGAAUUUGGAUCUUGAAUUUGUGUGUUGCUGUCACUGCAAGCUGGUUGCUGAUUGGUAUGGCGCGAUGCAAAUUUCUCCCAUCUCAAUCGAGCAGGCGCAUUCAUAUCGAUCGUUUUCUUUGCUCUUUCUUCGUGUUUUUGUUUGUUUGCUUGUUUUUCUUUCUUUCUUUCCUUCCCAUACAGGCAUAUGUGCGGAAUGUGUAGGUCUUGACAAUGGAUGCUCGCAACAAGGACGUCAGCAAGGAAAGAACAAGGUGAAAAUUUUCCUUUUCUCCAUUUUUAAAAUGGACGAAAGAUCGCAUAUCAGAUCCUCUUGGCGAUCACUUAAAGGUAACAGGUUAAUUCUCUCACAGUCCCUCCUCUUUGGUACCGCGAUGGCGAUUGCCUGCUUGCGCUUUCUUUCUUUCUUUCCUUCCUCUCUCUUCCUGCAUAAUUGCCGAUCACAAGCUCGAGUGGUUCUUCUUGCCUGCUCUUCACUUGACAGAAUCCCAGCAUGUUUUUCCCCGACCAUUAACUCUACACCACUCCCGUAAGCUUCAAGCGAGCGAGAACGAGCAAUCGUCUAGUGAGAAGCAUAUCAUCUCAUCAAUCACUCACUGCCAGUCUAGACUUGUGUGUGUGUGUGUGGGUACAGUGGUUUUCCUUGUCCACGAGAGUGAUGAUACUCUAAUCCAAUCCAAUGCAUCCAAACAGUCGUCAUCGCCCCGCUCUGGACAGUGCAAAGUCCUUGUCACCCCCCGUUUGUGCUCCCCCGUUUGCAACAGAAGCACACACACAAGCUUCACAUAAACCUUUGUCAUACAAUUUGCCUCAAGCCUCUUUGUAGCCAAGGCCUCUAUUCGAACCAGCAGCAGGGAUUCAGGCCGGAAGCACGCAUCUUUCCACUGCAAACGGCUUCUUUCUUCCUAUCAUUACCACACCAGUCCUUUUCCUUUUGUUGGGUGAUAGCGGCAGAGAGAGCUUGCCAAAACCUCAUCACAAAGAGUGUGAAUGUAUGUGUGUGUGUGUGUGUGUGUUAAGAGCGAGUGCUUUCACCACUGCACAAUUGCAUUGAAUUCCACCUCUCUGGACGACUGUUGCUGAGCGUGUGAGCGUGAGAGCAAUUGAGAGAGAGUCACUGUGCGCGCUCUAACAGGAACAAACAAAUAGUUUGUUUGUGUUUGUGAGGCACAGCAGCGGCAAAACAGUCGCAGCAGCAGCGGCAGCAGCAGCAGCAGAUGCUCACGCUUUGCUCAUUUUCGCAUCGUUUCCUGCCUAGUAUUUCUUGUGUACUGAGCACAGGUUUUCAUUGUAUAGUCGUGUGGGAAUUAACUUCCGAAUGCCGCCUUUCCUUUUUUUUUCUCCGUUUUUUUUCUCUGGCUUCUGCUUCUGCUGCUGCUGCUGGUCUAUCCUUGUACCUAUGCCGAAAAUGAAAGGCGUACAAAUA
rnacentral:lncRNA from 1 species